rnacentral:rRNA from 1 species
GACGAACGCUGGCGGCGUGCUUAACACAUGCAAGUCGAACGGAAAGGCCCUGCUUUUGUGGGGUGCUCGAGUGGCGAACGGGUGAGUAACACGUGAGUAACCUGCCCUUGACUUUGGGAUAACUUCAGGAAACGGGGGCUAAUACCGGAUAGGAGCUCCUGCUGCAUGGUGGGGGUUGGAAAGUUUCGGCGGUUGGGGAUGGACUCGCGGCUUAUCAGCUUGUUGGUGGGGUAGUGGCUUACCAAGGCUUUGACGGGUAGCCGGCCUGAGAGGGUGACCGGCCACAUUGGGACUGAGGUGCGGCCCAGACUCCUACGGGAGGCAGCAGUGGGGAAUAUUGCACAAUGGGCGGAAGCCUGAUGCAGCAACGCCGCGUGCGGGAUGACGGCCUUCGGGUUGUAAACCGCUUUCGCCUGUGACGAAGCGUGAGUGACGGUAAUGGGUAAAGAAGCACCGGCUAACUACGU